rnacentral:rRNA from 1 species
CAACCUGCCCCAGGCUUUGGGAUAACCCCGGGAAACCGGGGCUAAUACCGAAUAUGACCUCUGACCGCAUGGUUGGUGGUGGAAAGUUUUUCGGCUUGGGAUGGGCUCGCGGCCUAUCAGCUUGUUGGUGGGGUGAUGGCCUACCAAGGCGACGACGGGUAGCCGGCCUGAGAGGGCGACCGGCCACACUGGGACUGAGACACGGCCCAGACUCCUACGGGAGGCAGCAGUGGGGAAUAUUGCACAAUGGGCGGAAGCCUGAUGCAGCGACGCCGCGUGAGGGAUGACGGCCUUCGGGUUGUAAACCUCUUUCAGCAGGGACGAAGCGUAAGUGACGGUACCUGCAGAAGAAGCGCCGGCCAACUACGUGCCAGCAGCCGCGGUAAGACGUAGGGCGCGAGCGUUGUCCGGAUUUAUUGGGCGUAAAGAGCUCGUAGGCGGCUUGUCGCGUCGACCGUGAAAACUUGGGGCUCAACCCCAAGCCUGCGGUCGAUACGGGCAGGCUAGAGUUCGGUAGGGGAGACUGGAAUUCCUG